rnacentral:lncRNA from 1 species
UGCAGUUACUAUCUAUAUGUGUCUUUGUCUUUAUUUACAUGUUUAAAUAUGAAAAAAUUCCUCCCAGUGAAGUAGUUUUUUUUUUUUUUUUUGGAGACAGGGUCUCACCAUGAAGUUCAGACUGGCCCUGAACUCAUUGUGAUCCUCCUGCCUCUGCUUCCCAAGUGCUGGGAUUGCAGGUGUGCACCUGAAGUUUUUAAUAGAUGUGGCCGAACUGCCUGCCAAAGAAGUUGUACCAGUUCAUACAACUCUCCUUGCAUGAUGGGGCUGCUUCCUCGAACCCAAGAGACAGUGUCUCACAUUUCAGAGAAGGAAGACUCCAGGUACCAAAGCUACUGAGGCUGAGUAUAUGUUACCGAAGUGCAGAGGCAAAAUAAGCAUUGAGCGCAGUGUGGUGUGACCAGGUAAGUAACUUCUGGUAGUAACUUCAUGAAAGCUCACUAUGUGGAAAAAUCAUAGUUGUGGCUUUAAAAAUGUGCUUAUCUAAAGUAAAAUAUAAAUCUUUAAUAAAGCAAAAGUAAAUUGAAAAGAUGAAAGAUAAAGAAGGGUUUUGAUAGUUCCUGUUGAUGUUGGAUAUUCUUGUCCUAAAUAAGGAAUUAAUGACUUCCAGUGUUAUUUACUCUAUAUGAGAACAGAAGCUAUAUAGAAUAAUAAACACUAUGUGGAAAUCUUUGUGGCCAUCUGCAGUAAUUGUCCCUGAUGAUGUCCAUAUGCAAAUCCUUGGAAGGUAUGAGUAUGUUAUUUAUG